rnacentral:tRNA from 1 species
GAGGGUAGAGCUCAGUAGUAGAGCGUGUGUUUAGCAUACACAAGGUUCUGAGUUCAAUACCCAGUACCUCCA